ensembl:lncRNA
AUUUACCAGGUGGUCGCUUGGUGUCCUCCGUUGCAAUUGUUGCGUAAUCUCCAGCUGCAGUACUUUUCCAUUUGCUACUGAGGAGAAACCCAACUGCCACGAAGGAUUUAUCAUCGAAUAGAUAUGUGAAAAACACCUUGAGGAUGAUUCUAAACAACGUUUGCCAUGUUUCUGUCGAUAUUAUGGAGUUAAUUUGGAAAAAAGUUUGGCAUUGUAGUGAAUGAAUUUUCGUUGUUUGUUUUCUUAGCCAAAAGUGAUGAACAAAACGGAGCGAUUUCUCCUACACAAAUAAUCUUUUUGGAAAAAAUGAACAUUUGCUAUCUAACUGAGAGUCUCCUCAUUGAAAACAUCCGAAGUUCUUCAAAGGUGGAACCUUUCCCGUUCUAUGCUUCGGAGAAAACUUGUUCCAUCCUCUCGUUGAAAGGACAACGAUAGGUGGGAUAGAAGGUAUUCAUCUAUGUUGACUGCUUAAUAGGGUUGAAAACUCACAAAGAAAUACCU